GUGGGGAAUCUUCCACAAUGGACGAAAGUCUGAUGGAGCAACGCCGCGUGAGUGAAGAAGGGUUUCGGCUCGUAAAGCUCUGUUGUCGGGGACGAAUGUGAGAUACUUGAAUAAAGUGCCUCAAUGACGGUACCUGACGAGGAAGCCACGGCUAACUACGUGCCAGCAGCCGCGGUAAUACGUAGGUGGCAAGCGUUGUCCGGAAUUAUUGGGCGUAAAGGGAGCGCAGGCGGGAAGGUAAGUCGGUCUUAAAAGUGCGGGGCUCAACCCCGUGAUGGGAUCGAAACUAUCUUUCUUGAGUGCAGGAGAGGAAAGUGGAAUUCCUAGUGUAGCGGUGAAAUGCGUAGAUAUUAGGAGGAACACCAGUGGCGAAGGCGACUUUCUGGACUGUAACUGACGCUGAGGCUCGAAAGCCAGGGGAGCGAACGGGAUUAGAAACCCGGGUAGUCC
rnacentral:rRNA from 1 species